GAGGUCCCGUGUGCACGUUGCACACGUGAAAGAUCUCUUGGUGGUCUUUGGGCACAUUCCACCACACACACAUGCUAGGCUCAUUCACCAUCUGGUCCAUGAGCUUCACCUGUUCCAGUUUCUGCCCCAACAUCGGCAGUGGGAGCACGGUCAUGGUAGAUGUCAAUGUGUCGCACUUUGGCUUCAUGGAAUUUUUACUGAGGUCAUCAGAAGCAAGCCCUGAGACAUGAACUGACCUUGUGGAUUUCAGAAUUGUCGUCAUUCGCAUCUCUGUCUGGUGCUGAGUUUGCUGGAAACUUUCGGUGAUGCUCAAUCAAGUACUUUCUCAGCCAUCCGAAAAUCUCCAGGCCUGAAUGAAGUCUGGCUGCAAGGAUAUGCAGACACCGUAAUCCAUUGGAUGUUGUGAAGUGGCAUCCACACAAGAAUCCACCUGCACGUCAGUGCACCCAUCCACACUAGAGUCCACCUGCACGCCAGUGCACCCAUCCACACAAAAACCUCCACCUGGAAGAGAGACAACCUUGACCUUGACCUAUCUAGCUCUGGUAAAUUGUUUCUCCAUUUCCUCCCCUGCGUACUUUGUCAAAUGUCACCUGAACUUCCUCUCGUUCUCUUCUGUUGAGGAAAUUGUUUGGUCCAGCAUUCUGGCCACCCUCAAGACCUUCACGACAACAAAUCCAAGAAAAGAAUCAUACUGACUGGUCCAAGAACAGAAUCAGACUGACUGGUCCAAGAACAGAAUCAGACUGACUGGUCCAAGAACAGAAUCAGACUGACUGGUCCAAGAACAGAAUCAGACUGACUGGUCCAAGAACAGAAUCAGACUGACUGGUCCAAGAACAGAGUCAUACUGACUGGUCCAAGAACAGAGUCAUACUGACUGGUCCAAGAACAGAAUCAGACUGACUGGUCCAAGAACAGAAUCAGACUGACUGGUCCAAGAACAGAGUCAGACUGACUGGUCCAAGAACAGAAUCAGACUGACUGGUCCAAGAACAGAAUCAGACUGACUGGUCCAAGAACAGAAUCAGACUGACUGGUCCAAGAACAGAGUCAGACUGACUGGUCCAAGAACAGAAUCAGACUGACUGGUCCAAGAACAGAAUCAGACUGACUGGUCCAAGAACAGAAUCAGACUGACUGGUCCAAGAACAGAGUCAUACUGACUGGUCCAAGAACAGAGUCAUACUGACUGGUCCAAGAACAGAGUCAUACUGACUGGUCCAAGAACAGAAUCAGACUGGUCCAAGAACAGAAUCAGACUGGUCCAAGAACAGAAUCAGACUGACUGGUCCAAGAACAGAAUCAGACUGACUGGUCCAAGAACAGAAUCAGACUGACUGGUCCAAGAACAGAAUCAGACUGGUCCAAGAAGAUUGGAAGUUGCCAACAACUGACUUGAUGUGCCCAGUGAGAGAUUCCAGCCUGUUUGUUGUUUACUCACUCAGCAUCAGGGAUUCUGCCUUCAAGCCCAUAACCCAUUCCUCUGGAAUAUCAUGCCAGUUGCACCUUAUGCAGUUGCGAGCGCCGUAAAACCCUGUACUACUACUACUAUGCCAGUUGCGCUUGAUAUAAUCAAUAACCAUGGAAAAAUUUCCUUCCUCAAGAUAUUUCCUUUUGCAAGUGCUGAUCCUAUUCCUUCUUCAGUACAAGUUUUUGCUGUAUGCCAGAUGCUGAAGAAGUGCAUGAAGGGUGUUCCUUUGCUCAGGUUGAAAGCUCAUUUGAACAGAAGUUUUUUCUCUGGAAGAAAGCUCAUUUGAACAGAAGUUUUUUCUCUGGAAGAAAGCUCAUUUGAACAGAAGUUUUUUCUCUGGAAAAAGAGUGAAGUGUAUGACACAAGCAGAGCUCACUUUGGUAUGUGGGAAUGCAGAACUCAAGAUGGAUCGCUCAGUAAAAUCUUUGUCAAUUAUAAUGACCUUUGUUCUUGAAGUACUAAUAGUAAUAAAUGAAUCAAAAUGGGAUUUGAAAGCUGACACCAUCCGGCUCCGAAGAUUGUGGGUCUGAUUGUGCACCAGAAAAAAUCUUGCAGCAUGGCGGGCCGUCCUGUCAUUGGUCAAUUUGUCCACUUCCUCCAUCUGAAGCACUUCUAUUCAAUAAGUGUAAUAAAUAACCUCCAUUUCAGGAUCCAUAAGUUGGGAUUGCCAUGCUUGCAGCAAUUUCUCUUUUUUGAAAGUUUUUUUUUUCUCGUCUUCCUCUUUUAGUUACAGCAAUUUGAGCUGCAGGCUCUAGGCAUUAUGCUUUCUCUUCAACAUUGUCAGCUUGCUUAGUCUGGAACAGUCGCACAGAUUUAGACGAGAGUUGAUCAGCUCACUGUACUGAGCUCUGCCCAAGUCUAGAAAAUGGACAAAGUCCAAUGUCAGUGACAUCAUGCAAUACAUGCCGGCGUCUGCUCAUGUCUAUGGUCUUUGUCAACGAACUUUGCAGAGACUAUAGUUGAUGACCAAUUGAAGGUCACACGACAGAUGUACAUUUGAUAGUCAGGGUUCCCAGUGAAAUCCCGAAAUUCUUUUCCUUCCAGACUCAAAUUUUUUUUCCAGACUACCAAAAAAAAAAAAAAUCACCAAUAAAAAGCUUACUUACCAGAAGUUUUGACGUCUACAAGCAUAUUAAAGGAUGAUUCAUCUGCUGUAGUGACUAGACAGUCUUAAGAACAGACUCCUUUUUCUGAAUAUCUUCUUUCAAUGACUCCAUUCUUCUUCUUUUUUCACAAGUGUGUUCCUUAAUGAUAAUCCAUGCGCUGAAGUAAAUAGUGCCCACUGGUCAUUCAUAUUGGUUACAGAUUCUGCCAUACAUACGCUUUUCUAUCACUUUCUCUUCUCAAAGAUGCCACAUUGUUGUCCUCUACUUCCAGUUUUCUUUUCUUUCCUUCCUCCACCUCCUCCACACUUUGUCUCCAUAUUGCCGAGGCGUCCCUGAACACUCUGAUAGCACGGCGAGCAGGAAGUGCUGCACACACGCACGUCUUGUUGGGUCCUCACGACUCCUCACGUCAGGUCGUGUCAGUGAAAUCUCCGAUAGGAAAUAAAGAGGGCUCGACUUUUUUUAGCAGCGCCCUUCAGUUGUGCGUGGCAGUAUAUUUUCAGCCUUAGAAGACAUAGCCCUCAAUCUUUUUGGUUUAGAAAUAAGAGCAUUUUGACAAAGCGAUAGUUUUCUUACAAAGAAGAAAAAAAAUGGGGAUUCUAUUUUCUUUUGGUUCACUGCUGUUUUUGGAUGAACCGUGUUUGGUUGAAGCAGACUUCACUGUAUGUCAAUGUUUUACUUGUCUGGGCAAGCCCGGCCUGGGCUGGGUACGAUGCUCCAUCAAACCUCCAAGUGGAAGUGGCACUCACAUCUUCAGUAAUCUGGCUUCUGCGGUUGUCGUGGCUGCGGUUUUUGGCAUUUUUUGGUCCCCGAAUCGCGGCCGCGAUUUUUGCUACUUCAUAACAAAUUAGAUAUGUGUAUUUUUGAUCAUGUUAAGGUGUCUAUGUAUAGUUAUUUUCAGGCGAAGAAUGUAGGUACUCUGGGACCUUACUGUAAAUUACAUAUAUAUAAACUUUUAUUUUUGCUGUUUGUCUUUCAUUUCUCUCUUUGUUGUUUGAGUUUGUUGUUGUUGAAUUUGUUGAGAUGUUGUUCUGACGUGUUGGUUUUCUAUGUUGUAAUGUUUCUACAGCGCAAUGGCAUUUCAGUUGAUGUUGUUCCUACAUUUUAAAAGAAUAUAAAUGUGUUAUGUUAAAGCGUGUCUCCACCAAAACUGAAUACUGACUCUGGCCGGCCCCUUGUGGGUGAUUCCACUCAUUGACUUGUCAUAUGGCCUGUACUUUUUCUUGAAAUACACACGUUUACAGUUUAAAUGUCCUGUACUUUUUCUUGAAAUACACAUGUUUACAGUUUAAAUGGCCUAUCUUCGGAAAGGUGGACACACGCCCUUAUUUGGUAAUAUUUGUGGUUGUUUAUUUGCUGUUCUAAUUUUGAUUUCCUUCUGUUGUGAAACUUUAAUAAAUUUUUCACGUUUUUACACUGUGUGUGGCUACAAAUGAUAUUCUGGAUGUUUGAAACAGAGGACAAGAAAUUCUGGUGCUUUCGAUUGUUUCCCUAAUCAACAUAUCAGUACGUCGUCACAGAGAGCUUGUGGGUGGUUGGCGGGUGCUCUAGUGUUGUUUGCUUCUUCUUUCCUAUCAAACAUUUAUCAUCCUUGUCUUCCCUUCUUCUUUUUUAUAUUUGUUACUCUCUUGUAACACGUUUAAUCUUCUGGCGCUCAUAUGACCUUAUGCAGACUUUGCGAGCGCCGUAAAACCUCUACUAAAACUUUUAAAAAUGAAAUCUUGAAAAUGAAUGGUAACUUUUAUGAAAUAAAUGGCAACAAACGCAGAUGCUAGAGUAGCACACAAUGUAGUGAAGAGCCUGACAAAGAGAUGCCAGUUUGGUGGGUAAACCAUUUAGAUAUUGUCAUUCUUGUUAAAGCCAACUUUCCAGGUGGUCCUGAGGUCCUGUGUAAAUGACACAACGACAACAAUGAACUGGUCAGUUAUGUCCUGUGUAAAUGACAUAACAACAAUGAACUGGUCAGUAAUGUCCUGUGUAAAUGACACAACAACGACAACAAUGAACUGGUCAGUAAUGUCCUGUGUAAAUGACACAACGACAACAAUGAACUGAUCAAUGUGCAAUAAAAAUCCAACACAUCGGGA